rnacentral:lncRNA from 1 species
CUCAAUUCUCCACACCUCCCUUUUUUCCUGCCCACAAUCUCUUUUCUCCUUCAAAGUUAGAUAAUUGCUUUUCCCACGUACACCUCUGGAAGUAAACAAAACAAAGUUUCAAAGAACAAGAACCCUCUGCUCUUAAUCCCACCUCUCGGCGGUCCUCCGCUGCGGCUGGCAGGUUCGCGUGCGCCGCCUCUGCAGUAAAUAAGAAAUGCAGGCGCCCACCCCCUGGGGACACCUGCUUCCCAAACCCCUGGGGGGUCUCCUGCCUGACUCUGCACCACUUUGAGUGACCUGAGCACAUGGCCCCAAAUUUCCUUGCCGACAAAGGACCUCCAACCUGCUCCUGAUGCCUGGGAGCCAGCCCGAGCACUUGGCCCCAGUCUCUGGAAGGAAGGACGGCAGCCCCUCAGGAUCAAGCAGCAGCUGUUGAGCAGUUGUCGUCUGGCACCUGCAUUAUCCCAUUUAAGGUCCACAACAACCAGGUCAGGUCAAUUCCAUCAUCCUCACUUUAUAGAUGAGGAGCCUUGAGGCACAGUGAAGCCAAGUCACUUGCUCAGGGGCACACAGCAGGGGUGCUGCCUGCGAAGCCCUAAGCUCCAGUCUCUCUAACCCUCUAGAGCAGGAGUUUUGGACCCGCUAGACACUCAGUUCCUCCAGGGCUGAAGGAAAGAAGUCAAGGUAGGAAGGGCCGAUGGAGCCUCCUGGAUCUGGCCACAGAGGAAGCCAGGGGUCUCAGUGCCAGAAUCAGCAAUGUGGUCCUGCUAGGCAGGGAUUCUGCUCUGAGCCUUAGCAAAAAAAGAGGAGAUGACCCCCAGAGGUAGAGAAGAGUGCCAGGAGCCUGAUCCCCACAGCUGGAGGC